ensembl:snRNA U6 U6 spliceosomal RNA
GUGCUCUCUUUGCAACACAUAUAUUAAAAUUGGAAUGAUACAGAGACGAUUAGUAUGGAUCGUGUGCAAGAAUGACAUGCAAAUUUGUGAAGCCUUCCACAUUUCU